rnacentral:rRNA from 1 species
CAGUCGACGGCAGCACGGGUGCUUGCACCUGGUGGCGAGUGGCGAACGGGUGAGUAAUACAUCGGAACAUGUCCUGUAGUGGGGGAUAGCCCGGCGAAAGCCGGAUUAAUACCGCAUACGAUCUACGGAUGAAAGCGGGGGACCUUCGGGCCUCGCGCUAUAGGGUUGGCCGAUGGCUGAUUAGCUAGUUGGUGGGGUAAAGGCCUACCAAGGCGACGAUCAGUAGCUGGUCUGAGAGGACGACCAGCCACACUGGGACUGAGACACGGCCCAGACUCCUACGGGAGGCAGCAGUGGGGAAUUUUGGACAAUGGGCGAAAGCCUGAUCCAGCAAUGCCGCGUGUGUGAAGAAGGCCUUCGGGUUGUAAAGCACUUUUGUCCGGAAAGAAAUCCUUGGCYCUAAUACRGUCGGGGGAUGACGGUACCGGAAGAAUAAGCACCGGCUAACUACGUGCCAGCAGCCGCGGUAAUACGUAGGGUGCGAGCGUUAAUCGGAAUUACUGGGCGUAAAGCGUGCGCAGGCGGUUUGCUAAGACCGAUGUGAAAUCCCCGGGCUCAACCUGGGAACUGCAUUGGUGACUGGCAGGCUAGAGUAUGGCAGAGGGGGGUAGAAUUCCACGUGUAGCAGUGAAAUGCGUAGAGAUGUGGAGGAAUACCGAUGGCGAAAGCAGCCCCCUGGGCCAAUACUGACGCUCAUGCA